rnacentral:lncRNA from 1 species
UCCAAGUGGUGAUUUGGUGUCUCACAAACUUUAGAUAGGUCACAAGUUCAAUUCUUCUCAUGCUCAUUCUUGCCGAAGUCAAGAUCAACUCCAGGACUUGAGCUAGACUGGAUCAAUUGGACUGGGCCCAUCAGGAUGGGCUUGGACAAAUCAAAUGGGCUGAGCUUGAAUACUGUGGAUUGAGCUGUUAAGUGGGCUUGAGGCCCAGCCCAGCGGAAGAAAAGCGCAAGCUUGUGAGAUGAAGACAGAAGCCUGGGACGCCCGUUUAAUAAAAAUUGAAUGUUGGUAGUCUGUCUCGCGCUCAGCAACAUAGCAACAGGUAGUAGCUCAGCACCGCGGAACAUAAUAAAUAAAACGCCGCUGUAUACUUGCUCUCAAAAAU